GCAACCAGUUAAUGUAAAAAAAACAUUCUAAAGACCUUUGUAUUUAUAACCAAAGAAUUAUUCCCUGACUGCUUGUUUGCACUCAACAUUUUACAUUUGCUAAAAGCUAUUGAAAAAAAGAAACAUUUCACAGAGAAAGCCUGGGAUUGUUUACUAAAUGUAACAUUUCAUGUUCAAAUGCCAACACUGAAUGGUAAUAGUGUUGGAAUAAUAUGUAAAGCAAUAUAAAAGUUCAAUAUAUAGGAUUAACACAACAGGAGGACAAAUGUUCCAGCCGGUCAGAGGAUUUCUGCUGAAAGCUUCAUUCUCUGUUUACAUGUCAAUAGUUGAUCAACUUUGUCCUGAAUCAGCUGCUGAAUAACUUUUCUGGUGGUUGUGUAACCCAGUGUUUAAAAACACAAGAAAAAAAAUAAUAGAUGUUGAUUCAAUGUCUUAUUCUACCAGAAUAGCUAAAAGGUAAUUAGGUAAAUCUUCAAAAAUGUGAAAUAUGCUUUUAGUGUUAGCUUGUAUUGACAGAUUAGGCAGCCAAUGGCUGGCGCGGUCUGGUUUCGUGUCGGCCAAUGGGGUUGAUCGUCCCGCCCCUUUUUAUCAGCUGGCGGUUGUUUCGUUCGGAGCGCGGCAGACAGGCUUGAAAGCUAACAGCUGACGGUUGCUUCGCUCAGAACGCUUGAGAACAGCUGACGGUCGUUUCGCUGAGAACGCUGGAGAGCUAACAGCUGACGGUCGUUUCCGUAAAGAAAGAAAGAAAUUGACGAAUCUGGAAAUUGAUCUUAGAGGGUUUCCCCCGUGAACAGCUGAAGCCCGAAAAAUAGCCGUUGACAGCUCAGAGCAUCGGUCAGGUUUUUUUGUUUUUGUUUUUUUUUUAGCUUGUUUGAUACACUUUUGGCUUGGAGGGCCAAAGAUUCCAAGACCCUCUUCUCCUGAACCUGGAUGGCGAGCCCCAGCCCAGAGGACCAGGCGCACGGGUAGAUAGUGACCCGACUGGUCACCAGCUGAGAGACUGAGACUGAACAAUUGACUCAUUGGAGACUGAAGUAUUCAAUUUAUUUAUUUAUUUUUUAUUUAUUUUUUUUUAAAGCGCGCAGUAUUUGUUUGUCUGUUUUAAAUGUGGAUCCACAAUUGUUUAUUAUAUUAAAUAUUUGCUCUUUUCUUGUAGACACUGUGUGUUCUGUUGUUGCUCACACCUGGGUUCCCUCGAAUUUAAAAUCUUCUGAUUAGGCCCAACUUCCUAUAUACAUAUAGUCAAAAACCAGAUUGUGUUUUUGACCAACUUCAGACUUGGAAGAUCCCACUGAAUGUUGGUGAGAGAGGACUCUCUGGACCGCGUGGAUCUCUCCAAUCACACAUUUUUGAGGAAUUGUCACAUCAUGUUCAGUUUCAUUGGUGAGAACAACUGGUAUCAGGUAGGGUGCUCGCUCAGGUAAGCUGAUGAGACUUGGCUUUACUAGGACACCCCCAGGUAAGGUUGAAAAGGAUGGGUGCUCUAGCAGCACGGAUCUCUCUGUGGUAUUAGCUGACACCGCCACCGAGCUUUCCAGGACAACUGUCUGGCCUGCUGGAACUAGCUGAGGGCCUUUGUUAUACAUGGUUGCUAGACCAAGGCUACUGCCUUUGGUCUGUUUGUGUCUUAACUCUAGCACUUUUAAUACUGCCUUAUAGCCAUCUGAAACGAGAGGCUGUAGUCCGGGACAUGCUUUGUUAUACAAUUCAUAAAGCACAUCUAAGGUGUUAGUUCCAAUUAACACCAAAGACUGGGAAGCAGCUCGAAUGUUUGGCACGACUAAGGCAAGUGUUGACACAUCGGCUUCAAUGCCGAGAAACUCUUUUGGAAAAGUGACGUUCAUUUCAAUGUACCCUAAAUAAGGCACUGAUUGGCCGUUUGCACCUUCUACUUCGAGUAGGUCAAAAAGUGGCUUAAUCUCAUGACUAGAUAGAUGUUGUUCAUAAUAUGAUUGUGGGACCGUGGUCACCUGGGAGCCAGAAUCGAGUAAGCAGUUUACAGUAUUGCUGUUAAUCUUUACUUGAGCUGUACUUUUAGUACCGAUUAAACCUCGAGGCAGUUUGAAUCUGUCGGUUUUAGUAUGAGACUUUAAAAUGGCACGUUUUUUAGUCGGCACAUUUUGCUUUUGUUCAAGGGGACGGUUUGACUCUGUGGUAGCCUCUGUUUGUCCCUCAACAGAGGCAAACUUCAGUUUAAAGAAGCAGAGCCAUUGUGUUGUCUAUCCCAUAUUUGUCUUUUUGCUUUUAGUUCUUUACGUUUUGCCUCUACAAGUGCAGGGUUUGGCUCAGAUUCACAGUUGGCAACAAUAUGUCCGUCCUCCCCACAGCGAAAGCAGUACCAAGGCUUGGGCCGUGAACUAGGGCGGCUGUGUGAAGGUAAGUUGGGUUCAGGGUUUGCAUGGUCAGGUUUUGUUGUUUGGUUCUUCUUAGGUACUGUUUGUUUCUUUUGUUUCAUAACUGCUGCUAAUUGGCUUUUUAAAUCAGCAACCUGUUUUUCAGAUCACUUAAAGUGCUUGAAGUUGUUUCGGAAAAGUCCAUUUUUGUUUCAGUGACAGUUUGUUCAUGUGACGCUGCUUUUUGUUUGGUUGCACUAAAGUGUUUUCUCAUUCUUGUGCUUCUAACUUCUUGUCUGUUUUCUGCAGUACGGAGUAGGAGUAAUAGUUCUGCAAAUGUGGGCAGAUUAUUUCUCCUUAACUCUAACUGCAGUUCUGUCAGUAGGUUAUCAUCCCAACAGCCUCUUUGAAAUUGCUUAAGAAGCUGUCUGUCUCUUUUUCUGGGGUCUACACCACCCCGGCGCACUGCAAGACUCAGUGCUACCUGUAAGCGAUGCAAGUACGCAGAUGGUUUCUCCCCAGGAUCCUGCAAAGUGUUCAUGAAUCGCACAAGCAGUUCCUCACCAUCUUCAACAGUACCAAAUGCCGACUCAAGCAGCCUAAGAUAGUCAUCAACGGGUGCAUCAGGCCCAAGAGGCCGAAUGACAUCUGAAGCUGGAGUGAGAAGGCUUUCAAGAAUUUUUCGGGUUUUUUCCAAGUUAGAAAGAGAUGUGACA